UACGGGAGGCAGCAGUGGGGAAUAUUGCACAAUGGGCGAAAGCCUGAUGCAGCAACGCCGCGUGAGUGAUGAAGGCCUUCGGGUUGUAAAGCUCUGUAUUUUGGGACGAUAAUGACGGUCCCAAAGGAGGAAGCCACGGCUAACUACGUGCCAGCAGCCCCGGUAAUACGUAGGUGGCAAACGUUGUCCAGGAUUUACUGGGCGUUAAGGAUGCGUAGGCGGAUUUUUUAGUCAGAUGUUAAAAUCCCAGGCUCAACUAUGGGGGGUGCAUUUCAAACUGGAAGUCUAGAGUGCGGGAGAGGAAAGUGGAAUUCCUGGUGUAGCGGUGAAAAGCGUAGAGAUUAGGAAGAACACCCGUGGGGAAGGAGACUGUCUGGCCCGUAACUAAACUUUUAGGCAUGACAGCGUGGGUAGCAAGC
rnacentral:rRNA from 1 species